UCAGGGCAAAGAAGGUGCUGGGCCUGCACAGAAGUGGCCCAGGGAAAUGCAUGGAGGAGUGGGAGGGGAUGUAGAAUGUAGCUGCCAUCUACAGGGUGCCUGGGCUGGGACCCAAAGUAGUGGGCAGGCCCUGAUCCUCUAUUUGCCUCUGGGGAAGUGGCUGGACAGUUGACUGCAGGGCCCUCGGAACAGGGGAGCACACAUUGUGACGCUGCCAGAGGGCUGUGUCAUGAAGAAGACACUGUGGUUCUUAGAAUGCCGUGGGUCCAGGAGCAGAUGUGACAGUGGGCAAGGAGAGGACCUGCGCAGCUAAUCCCCAAGAUGACCAGCAGGAGGCGCCAGUGUAGUGAGUGGAGCCCCGUCACAUAUGUAAACAGCUCUGUACUUCAUAAGGGUUUUAAAAACAGCAAACUGAAAAGAGUCUCUAUCAUGAGGCAUCAUAUUGACACUUGCCUGGGUCAUCAGCAAGGCAAAAACCUCUAGCUCCACCACACAGACCUCUGCCACUUGAGCCAAGGGAGUAACUGACAGCAGUAGCUGGUUGUCACCCUCUCUGGAGACCAUCACUGGGAUGGGGAGGGUGCACUUUGCCAGGGAUUUCAGAUAUUUGCUGGCAGCAGAGGCCAGUUGAGGCUCAGGAAUCCUGGGUUCUGCUCCAGGCUCUGGAGGGGAGCGUGCUCUAGCAGACAUGACCUAUUUUCCCCAACAGGUGAAAUCUUCUGCACUGUUGCCUCCAAUCUGUCCCAGUCUUGCAUGUACCCCACCACUGGCUCCUCAUCCCAGUCUCCACUCCUCAGGCUUCUCAUCCCAGCUUCCUUGUCCAACCAUUCUCACUUCCUCCCAGAGCACCCUACUCCUUGUUCCAGUCCUCCCCUGGAUCCUCAUUUAACCUGUCUCCCCUGCACCCACUCACCUCCUUCCCCACACCACUGGUGCUUGGUCCUAGUCUCCCCUCAGAUCCUCCUCUAAUUUCAGUCUGUCCCUGUCCCCCCACGGUAAUACCUACUGGCUUCCAGUCCCCUGUUCAUUUUACUCCAUGGCUCCAUCUCUUUGCCCAGCCAGUCCCCAGGCUCCUCCCACCCCAGCUCAAGGAUCAGACUCCUCAGUCAUCAAAGAACCCAUGAAAAAUAAAACCUGUGAAAGAUCAUCCUCGACCUCGAGGGAUCGCCGCUGCCCCUGUGGAGCAGAGGUGGGAUAGAUGUGUAUGUCAAUGUGGAAGACUUCAGCAAGCCAUCUGAAUGCUAAUGUAUGCAGCAGAGAGGUAAAGCAGUUAACUGGCGUGUCCGUGAUU